rnacentral:rRNA from 1 species
UUUGACGUUACCUACAGAAGAAGCACCGGCUAACUCCGUGCCAGCAGCCGCGGUAAUACGGAGGGUGCGAGCGUUAAUCGGAAUUACUGGGCGUAAAGCGCAUGCAGGCGGCCUGUUAAGUCAGAUGUGAAAGACCCGGGGCGUUAACCUCGGAAUUGCAUUUGUAAACUAGGCAGGCUAGAGUCUUGUAGAGGGGGGUAGGAAUUUCAGGUGUAGCGGUGAAAUAGCGUAGAGAUCUGAAGGAAUACCAGUGGCGAAGGCGGCCCCCUCGGACAAAGACUGACGCUCAGAUGCGAAAGCGUGGGGAGCAAACAGGAUUAGAUACCCUGGUAG